GACGAACGCUGGCGGCGUGCUUAACACAUGCAAGUCGAGCGGUAAGGCCCUUCGGGGUACACGAGCGGCGAACGGGUGAGUAACACGUGAGCAACCUACCCUCAACUUCGGGAUAAGCCUCGGAAACGGGGUCUAAUACCGGAUAUCACUCCGAGCUUCGUGGUUUGGGGUUGAAAGUUCUGGCGGUUGGGGAUGGGCUCGCGGCCUAUCAGCUUGUUGGUGGGGUAAUGGCCUACCAAGGCGUCGACGGGUAGCCGGCCUGAGAGGGCGACCGGCCACACUGGGACUGAGAUACGGCCCAGACUCCUACGGGAGGCAGCAGUGGGGAAUAUUGCACAAUGGGCGCAAGCCUGAUGCAGCGACGCCGCGUGGGGGAUGACGGCCUUCGGGUUGUAAACUCCUUUCAGCACAGACGAAGCGCAAGUGACGGUAUGUGCAGAAGAAGGACCGGCCAACUACGUGCCGGCAGCCGCGGUAAUACGUACGGUCCGAGCGUUGUCCGGAAUUAUUGGGCUUAAAGAGCUCGUAGGCGGUCUGUCGCGUCGGAUGUGAAAACCCGGGGCUUAACCCCGGGCCUGCAUUUGAUACGGGCAGACUCGAGUGUGGUAGGGGAGACUGGAACUCCUGGUGUAGCGGUGAAAUGCGCAGAUAUCAGGAAGAACACCGGUGGCGAAGGCGGGUCUCUGGGCCACUACUGACGCUGAGGAGCGAAAGCGUGGGGAGCGAACAGGAUUAGAUACCCUGGUAGUCCACGCCGUAAACGUUGGGCGCUAGGCGUGGGGGACUUUCCACGUCCUCCGUGCCGCAGCUAACGCAUUAAGCGCCCCGCCUGGGGAGUACGGCCGCAAGGCUAAAACUCAAAGGAAUUGACGGGGGCCCGCACAAGCGGCGGAGCAUGUGGCUUAAUUCGACGCAACGCGAAGAACCUUACCAAGGCUUGACAUACGCAGAAAUCCGGCAGAGAUGUCGGGUCCGCAAGGGCUGCGUACAGGUGGUGCAUGGUUGUCGUCAGCUCGUGUCGUGAGAUGUUGGGUUAAGUCCCGCGACGAGCGCAACCCUCGUUCCAUGUUGCCAUGCGGGUAAUGCCGGGGACUCAUGGGAG
rnacentral:rRNA from 1 species